UUAGCACUUUCACAGGUCCUCCCCUGCUUGUGGGGCCAGAAUUUGGUAGCUGGUGCUAAGAGAAAACCCUUUGAUUGCAUCCUUGCCCUGGCAGUGUGCCAGUGGCAACUGUCACUCAGUGGGACAGAG